rnacentral:rRNA from 1 species
UGAACGCUGGCGGCGUGCCUAAUACAUGCAAGUCGAGCGACCAGACGAGGAGCUUGCUCCUCUGACGUUAGCGGCGGACGGGUGAGUAACACGUGGAUAACCUACCUAUAAGACUGGGAUAACUUCGGGAAACCGGAGCUAAUACCGGAUAAUAUAUUGAACCGCAUGGUUCAAUAGUGAAAGACGGUUUUGCUGUCACUUAUAGAUGGAUCCGCGCCGCAUUAGCUAGUUGGUAAGGUAACGGCUUACCAAGGCAACGAUGCGUAGCCGACCUGAGAGGGUGAUCGGCCACACUGGAACUGAGACACGGUCCAGACUCCUACGGGAGGCAGCAGUAGGGAAUCUUCCGCAAUGGGCGAAAGCUUGACGGAGCAACGCCGCGUGAGUGAUGAAGGUCUUCGGAUCGUAAAACUCUGUUAUUAGGGAAGAACAAAUGUGUAAGUAACUAUGCACGUCUUGACGGUACCUAAUCAGAAAGCCACGGCUAACUACGU